GACAGAGGGUGCAAACGUUGCUCGGAAUUACUGGGCGUAAAGCGCGUGUAGGCUGCCCGGAAAGUCGGGCGUGAAAUCCCUGGGCUCAACCCAGGAACUGCACUCGAAACUCCCGGUCUUGAGUGGUGGAGAGGGAAGUGGAAUUCCUGGUGUAGAGGUGAAAUUCGUAGAUAUCAGGAGGAACACCAGUGGCGAAGGCGGCUUCCUGGACACCAACUGACGCUGAGACGCGAAAGCGUGGGGAGCAAACAGG
rnacentral:rRNA from 1 species